GACAGCAGAAUGUUGGAUUCUGUUUCCUCAUCCAACUGGAUACUGUCUUUUAAUUGUUUGAAAUGAGAGGACUCUCCAGAGACAGAGUGGGGAAAAGAAAAAGAACAGGCAGAUUGACCAAAGUACACUGCUGAGGGGAGCAGCGGGCAGCUAGAAAAACAAAGGAGA